UGAGAAGACUGUGGGUGUGGGCGGCAAGCUGGACAACAUCCUCACGGUCAUCCGGAUCGCCUUUUUCUUUGAAGACACGGCCUUGAUGAAGAAGCACAUCGACCGAGCGAAGGUUGAACUUGGCAAAGGAGGUGAUUGGGAGAGGCGAAACAAGCUGAAGGUCUACGAGGGGAUCUACCUCAUGAUUUCCAG
rnacentral:snRNA from 1 species